GAUAAACGCUGGCGGCGCACAUAAGACAUGCAAGUUGAACGGACUUAAUCGAAAUAUUUAUAUUUUGAAGCGGUUAGUGGCGGACUGGUGAGUAACGCGUAAGGAACCUGCCUAUUAGAGGGGAAUAACAGUGAGAAAUCAUUGCUAAUACCGCAUAUGCCAUAGAUAUCACAUGAUAACAGUGGGAAAGGAGCAAUCCGCUAAUAGAUGGCCUUGCGUCUGAGUAGAUAGUUGGUGGGGUAACGGCCUACCAAGUCGACGAUCAGUAGCCGGACUGAGAGGUUGAACGGCAACAUUGGGACUGAGAUACGGCCCAGAAUCCUACGGGAGGCAGCAGUAGGGAAUAUUGCGCAAUGGAGGAAACUCUGACGCAGUGACGCCGCGUAUAGGAAGAAGGUUUUCGGAUUGUAAACUAUUGUCGUUAGGGAAGAGAAAGGACAGUACCUAAGGAGGAAGCUCCGGCUAACUACGUG
rnacentral:rRNA from 1 species